rnacentral:rRNA from 1 species
GACGAACGCUGGCGGCGUGCCUAACACAUGCAAGUCGAACGAAGUGGCGAACGGGUGAGUAAUACGUGGGUAACCUGCUCUCCUUUUUGGGAUAAGCCCUGGGAACGGGGACUAAUACCGAAGAAAGGGGGAUGGGUUGGCGGCCUAUCAGCUUGUUGGUGGGGUGAUGGCCUACUAAGGUGGUGAAGGGUAGCCGGCCUGAGAGGGUGACUGGCCACAUUUGGACUUAGAUACGGCCCAGACUCCUACGGGAGGCAUCCGUGGGGAAUCUUCCGCAAUGGACGAAAGUCGUACGGAGCAACUCCGCGUGAGUGAUGACGGCCUUCGGGUUGUAAAGCUCUGUUAAUCGGGACACAGUACCGGAAUAGAAAGCCACGGCUAACUACGUGCCAGCAGCCGCGGUAAUUC